AGAGUUUGAUCCUGGCUCAGAGCGAACGUUAGCGGCGCGCCUAACACAUGCAAGUCGCACGAGAGGGGGCAACCCCGAAAGUGGCGCACGGGUGCGUAACACGUAGAUAAUCUGCCCUUUGGAGGGGGAUAACGUUCCGAAAGGAGCGCUAAUACCGCGUAAAGCCGAGCUUGGUUUGCCGAGCUCGGGCAAAGACUGGGACCGUAAGGCCAGUCGCCGAAGGAGGAGUCUGCGGCCCAUCAGCUAGUUGGUAAGGUAAUGGCUUACCAAGGCAGAGACGGGUAGCUGGUCUGAGAGGAUGAUCAGCCACACUGGUACUGGAACACGGACCAGACUCCUACGGGAGGCAGCAGUGGGGAAUCUUGGUCAAUGGGCGCAAGCCUGAACCAGCGACGCCGCGUGAGUGAUGAAGGCCUUCGGGUUGUAAAGCUCUGUGGGGAGGGACGAAAGACUGAGGUCUAAUAGGCUUCAGGUUGACGGUACCUCCUUAGCAAGCACCGGCUAACUCUGUGCCAGCAGCCGCGGUAAGACAGAGGGUGCAAACGUUGCUCGGAAUCACUGGGCGUAAAGGGCGUGUAGGCGGGAAUGCAAGUCGGGCGUGAAAUCCCUGGGCUCAACCCAGGAACUGCACUCGAAACUGCGUUCCUUGAGUACCGGAGAGGAAAGCGGAAUACCUGGUGUAGAGGUGAAAUUCGUAGAUAUCAGGUGGAACACCAGUGGCGAAGGCGGCUUUCUGGACGGUAACUGACGCUGAGACGCGAAAGCGUGGGGAGCAAACAGGAUUAGAUACCCUGGUAGUC
rnacentral:rRNA from 1 species